GACGAACGCUGGCGGCGUGCCUAACACAUGCAAGUCGAGCGAAUGAAGUUCCUUCGGGAACGGAUUUAGCGGCGGACGGGUGAGUAACACGUGGGCAACCUGCCUCAUAGAGGGGAAUAGCCUUCCGAAAGGGAGAUUAAUACCGCAUAAGAUUGUAGUACCGCAUGGUACAGCAAUUAAAGGAGCAAUCCGCUAUGAGAUGGGCCCGCGGCGCAUUAGCUAGUUGGUGAGGUAACGGCUCACCAAGGCGACGAUGCGUAGCCGACCUGAGAGGGUGAUCGGCCACAUUGGGACUGAGACACGGCCCAGACUCCUACGGGAGGCAGCAGUGGGGAAUAUUGCACAAUGGGGGAAACCCUGAUGCAGCAACGCCGCGUGAGUGAUGACGGCCUUCGGGUUGUAAAGCUCUGUCUUCAGGGACGAUAAUGACGGUACCUGAGGAGGAAGCCACGGCUAACUACGUGCCAGCAGCCGCGGUAACAC
rnacentral:rRNA from 1 species